rnacentral:rRNA from 1 species
ACUGCCCGAUGGAGGGGGAUAACUACUGGAAACGGUAGCUAAUACCGCAUAACGUCGCAAGACCAAAGAGGGGGACCUUCGGGCCUCUUGCCAUCGGAUGUGCCCAGAUGGGAUUAGCUAGUAGGUGGGGUAACGGCUCACCUAGGCGACGAUCCCUAGCUGGUCUGAGAGGAUGACCAGCCACACUGGAACUGAGACACGGUCCAGACUCCUACGGGAGGCAGCAGUGGGGAAUAUUGCACAAUGGGCGCAAGCCUGAUGCAGCCAUGCCGCGUGUAUGAAGAAGGCCUUCGGGUUGUAAAGUACUUUCAGCGAGGAGGAAGGUGUUGAGGUUAAUAACCGCAGCAAUUGACGUUACUCGCAGAAGAAGCACCGGCUAACUCCGUGCCAGCAGCCGCGGUAAUACGGAGGGUGCAAGCGUUAAUCGGAAUUACUGGGCGUAAAGCGCACGCAGGCGGUCUGUCAAGUCGGAUGUGAAAUCCCCGGGCUCAACCUGGGAACUGCAUCCGAAACUGGCAGGCUAGAGUCUUGUAGAGGGGGGUAGAAUUCCAGGUGUAGCGGUGAAAUGCGUAGAGAUCUGGAG